GAUGAACGCUGGCGGCGUGCCUAAUACAUGCAAGUCGAGCGAACAGACGAGGAGCUUGCUCCUCUGACGUUAGCGGCGGACGGGUGAGUAACACGUGGAUAACCUACCUAUAAGACUGGGAUAACUUCGGGAAACCGGAGCUAAUACCGGAUAAUAUAUUGAACCGCAUGGUUCAAUAGUGAAAGACGGUUUUGCUGUCACUUAUAGAUGGAUCCGCGCCGCAUUAGCUAGUUGGUAAGGUAACGGCUUACCAAGGCAACGAUGCGUAGCCGACCUGAGAGGGUGAUCGGCCACACUGGAACUGAGACACGGUCCAGACUCCUACGGGAGGCAGCAGUAGGGAAUCUUCCGCAAUGGGCGAAAGCCUGACGGAGCAACGCCGCGUGAGUGAUGAAGGUCUUCGGAUCGUAAAACUCUGUUAUUAGGGAAGAACAAAUGUGUAAGUAACGAUGCACGUCUUGACGGUAUCUAAUCAGAAAGCCACGGCUAACUACGU
rnacentral:rRNA from 1 species